AUUGAACGCUGGCGGCAGGCCUAACACAUGCAAGUCGAGCGGACGAAGGGAGCUUGCUCCUGGAUUCAGCGGCGGACGGGUGAGUAAUGCCUAGGAAUCUGCCUGGUAGUGGGGGAUAACGUCCGGAAACGGGCGCUAAUACCGCAUACGUCAUGAGGGAGAACGUGGGGGAUCUUCGGACCUCACGCUAUCAGAUGAGCCUAGGUCGGAUUAGCUAGUUGGUGGGGUAAAGGCCUACCAAGGCGACGAUCCGUAACUGGUCUGAGAGGAUGAUCAGUCACACUGGAACUGAGACACGGUCCAGACUCCUACGGGAGGCAGCAGUGGGGAAUAUUGGACAAUGGGCGAAAGCCUGAUCCAGCCAUGCCGCGUGUGUGAAGAAGGUCUUCGGAUUGUAAAGCACUUUAAGUUGGGAGGAAGAGCAGUAAGUUAAUACCUUGCUAUUUUGACGUUACCAACAGAAUAAGCACCGGCUAACUUCGUG
rnacentral:rRNA from 1 species